rnacentral:rRNA from 1 species
UGCAAGUCGAGCGGUAACGGGUCCAGCUUGCUGGAUGCCGACGAGCGGCGGACGGGUGAGUAAUGCAUAGGAAUCUGCCCGAUAGUGGGGGAUAACCUGGGGAAACCCAGGCUAAUACCGCAUACGUCCUACGGGAGAAAGCGGGGGCUCUUCGGACCUCGCGCUAUCGGAUGAGCCUAUGUCGGAUUAGCUAGUUGGUGAGGUAACGGCUCACCAAGGCGACGAUCCGUAGCUGGUCUGAGAGGAUGAUCAGCCACACCGGGACUGAGACACGGCCCGGACUCCUACGGGAGGCAGCAGUGGGGAAUAUUGGACAAUGGGCGCAAGCCUGAUCCAGCCAUGCCGCGUGUGUGAAGAAGGCUUUCGGGUUGUAAAGCACUUUCAGUGGGGAAGAAGGCCUGGCGGCCAAUACCCGCCAGGGACGACAUCACCCACAGAAGAAGCACCGGCUAACUCCGUGCCAGCAGCCGCGGUAAUACGGAGGGUGCGAGCGUUAAUCGGAAUUACUGGGCGUAAAGCGCGCGUAGGCGGCUAAGUAAGCCGGUUGUGAAAGCCCCGGGCUCAACCUGGGAAUGGCAUCCGGAACUGUUUAGCUAGAGUGCAGGAGAGGAAGGUAGAAUUCCCGGUGUAGCGGUGAAAUGCGUAGAGAUCGGGAGGAAUACCAGUGGCGAAGGCGGCCUUCUGGACUGACACUGACGCUGAGGUGCGAAAGCAUGGGUAGCAAACAGGAUUAGAUACCCUGGUAGUCCAUGCCGUAACGAUGUCGACUAGCCGUUGGGUCCCUUGAGGACUUAGUGGCGCAGUUAACGCGAUAAGUCGACCGCCUGGGGAGUACGGCCGCAAGGUUAAAACUCAAAUGAAUUGACGGGGGCCCGCACAAGCGGUGGAGCAUGUGGUUUAAUUCGAUGCAACGCGAAGAACCUUACCUACCCUUGACAUCCUGCGAACCCUCCGGAGACGGAGGGGUGCCUUCGGGAGCGCAGAGACAGGUGCUGCAUGGCUGUCGUCAGCUCGUGUUGUGAAAUGUUGGGUUAAGUCCCGUAACGAGCGCAACCCUUGUCCCUAUUUGCCAGCGAUUCGGUCGGGAACUCUAGGGAGACUGCCGGUGACAAACCGGAGGAAGGUGGGGACGACGUCAAGUCAUCAUGGCCCUUACGGGUAGGGCUACACACGUGCUACAAUGGCCGGUACAAAGGGUUGCAAUCCCGCGAGGGGGCGCCAAUCUCAUAAAGCCGGUCUCAGUCCGGAUCGGAGUCUGCAACUCGACUCCGUGAAGUCGGAAUCGCUAGUAAUCGUGCAUCAGAAUGGCACGGUGAAUACGUUCCCGGGCCUUGUACACACCGCCCGUCACACCAUGGGAGUGGACUGCACCAGAAGUGGUUAGCUUAACCCUCGGGGAGCGA